ensembl:lncRNA
CUUCAGUUUAACGGACUUUUCGGAAAGCGGGGGGCGGGAAAUGGCAGUUUGUGUCCCAGGGGUUCUUCCGCCUCUUCUCGCCUCCUCCGAAUACAAACAAAACUCAGCCCCCCAGCCUCCCCCCGCCCUCCGGGGUAACCGAGGACUCGGGGGACCGUGGAAACGUCCUUCCCCAAUCCGGCCGCCUGCGGACGCCCGGCUCCCGCGGGGCCGACGCUCGUUGGCGCCCGCAGCCUAACGCGGCCCCGCGGGGUCGGCUGCAGGAGCCCGCCGCGCCCGCGCGCCCCCGGAGUCCGCCGGCGGCGUCUCCUGCCACGGUGCGGGCCGGGCCCUCCCACUGCCCGCGAGGGAGGGCCGCAUCCCACCCCACGACCUGUGGGCUCGGCCGGCCAACCCUCUGCCCACGCGCAGCGAGAAGAGGCCCCUUUGUGUGACUAAAUUUGGAAAGAAUAUGGAUCCGAGCCAGUCUUUCCACGUGUGCUCCCAGCUCCCAGCUGAGAAGGCCAAGGGUUCUCUUCCGGAACAAACCAACAUGAAGAGACAGCUUUGCAAUAGUGUACUGCAAAGCAUCGGAAAUCCUGGGUUGGAGCAACAGCAAAAAUGAUCUUUAAAUGAAAAUCACCAUCAUCAUGUCUAUUUAUUUUUUGAGUACUUACUAAACAUGAAAAAGAGUUGAAAAUCAAGUGGACAUUAUACUACAUUAGUUACUCUUCAGUUUGGUAUGUAGCAGCCUCUGUUGGAGCCCUGUCCAUGUUGCCACCUUUAUCAAGUGCCUUCCAGCUACAGCACUUGUGUUCUUUGCCUGAGUUCGUCUCUUGCCUCUGGGGCCUGCUUUGCUGCCCUCAAGACAGCCCGGUAAUGCUAGGAAAUUAAUAUCCUCACGAUCAACCUUUAACAGUGGUUAGUGUUCAGAUACCCCAGCUCUCUCACCCACUGUGUGGGCUGAUUCUGAGGUGUAUUCUGCACUGGUUCCCAGAGUUUGCCCAGGGGGAUUAAGCCCCAGUUGCCCAGAGUGAUCACUGGCUUGAUAAUACAUCAUUUAUUGGCUUCCUUCCUUUUUCUCUCUUGCUUCCCAACUCUUUUAUUUGUGUUUCAAUGUUUCCUUCUCCUUUCUAGUAAAUGAUUUGCAGUGGAAUUCUUAAACCCAAACUACACUACCAGGAAGGCUUUAACCACUUCUAGGACUGUUGAUUGUUAUUAGUCACUUAGUCACUAAGUCAUGUCCGACUCUGCAACCCCAUGGACUGUAGCACCCAGGUUCCUCUGUCCCUGGGUUUUCCCAGGCAAAAAUACUGGAGUGGGUUGCCAUUUCCUUCUCUAGGGGAUCUUACCCACCCAAGGAUGGAAUCUGUGUCUCCUGCAUUGGCUGGCGGACUCUUUACCAGUGACCCACCAGGAAAACUGAAGCUCUAAUACUUUGGUCACCUGAUGCAAAGAGCCCACUCAUUCUUGCCCUGACACUGGGAAAGACUGAAGGCAAAAGGAGAAGGGGGUGGCAGAGAAUGAGAUGGCUAGAUAGCAUCACCGACUCAAUGCACACAAAUCUGAGCAAACUCCAAGAAAUAGUAGAGGACAGAGGAGCCUGGCGUGCUGCAGUCUCUGGGUUUGCAAAGAGUUGGACAUGACUUAGCGACUGAACAACAGCAAUACGUGUUGAUCUUCCUUAUUACCAGAGAGCUAGCUCAGGACUCAAGGUGGACGUCUUGGGUUAUUGAGAGGAUCUUGCUAGCAUUACCAACAAUUGUUUUGUUUUCAGUAUACUAAUUUUUCAGUUACCUUCUAUGUAUUAUGCUAAUUAUUUUAUAUUUACUAUUGUGAUAGAAAUGAAUCCAUUUAAGUUUAAAAAAUGAGUUGGUUUAAAUGCAGUGUUUAUUAAAUAGCAGGACUAGUGGUAAAGGAAAUCGACAAAAUUCAUAGACUAAAUGCCUGAAAUUUGGGGAACACCCUGCUGUAGGUUCCUGAGUCGACUUUGUGGGAUCUUUUAGAGGAAGCAGAGAGUUUCCCACCAUACUUCAUGUAGGGAGUUUCCUGCCAUGCUUCAUGCUUCAUGCUUUGCAAAACAGCAAGCAGUAACAUAGUGGCAGUAUUAUUUUAUGCUGUUUUCCCCAUAAAGUUAUUGUCUUCCCUUACAAUUUUAAAUGCU